GAUGAACGCUGGCGGCGUGCCUAACACAUGCAAGUCGAACGAACGGACGAGAACCUUGCUUCUCGGAUGUUUGGCGCAGACGUGUGAGACACCUGUGGAUCACCCACCUAUAAGACUGGGAUCACUUCGGAACAACUGAUCUAAUACCCGAUGAUAUUUUGCACCCCUUGGGUCAACAGUAAAAGACGGUCUUGCUGUCCCUUAUCCAUGGCUCCGCGUUGCAUUAGCUAGUUGGUAAGGUAACGGCUUACCAAGGCAACGAUGGAUAGCCGACCUGAGAGGGUGAUCGGGCACACUGGAACGGAGACACGGUGCAGACUCCUACGGGAGGCAGCAGUAGGGAAUCUUCCGCAAUGGGCGAAAGCCUGACGGAGCAACGCCGCGGGAGUGAUGAAGGUCUUCGGAUCGUAAAACUCUGUUAGUAGGGAAGAACAUAUGUGUAAGUAUCUGGGAAGAUCAUGACGGUACCCAACAAGAAAGCGACGGCUAACUACGUG
rnacentral:rRNA from 1 species